GAUGAACGCUGGCGGCGUGCCUAAUACAUGCAAGUCGAACGCAAAACCUUCGGGUUUUGAGUGGCGGACGGGUGAGUAACACGUGGGUAACCUGCCCAUCAGCCUGGGAUAACCACCGGAAACGGUGGCUAAUACCGGAUAUGUCUAUGGAUGAAAGUCGGAUUUAUCUGACACUGAUGGAUGGACCUGCGGCGCAUUAGCUAGUUGGUGAGGUAGUAGCUCACCAAGGCGACGAUGCGUAGCCGACCUGAGAGGGUGAUCGGCCACACUGGGACUGAGACACGGCCCAGACUCCUACGGGAGGCAGCAGUAGGGAAUCUUCCGCAAUGGACGCAAGUCUGACGGAGCAACGCCGCGUGAGUGAAGAAGGUUUUCGGAUCGUAAA
rnacentral:rRNA from 1 species